rnacentral:lncRNA from 1 species
AAACUGCCCGAUUUGCAGUCAGGGGUGCAAAAAUGUUUAGAACUUUAAUGGUUACUUUCUUUCACCUUCGUCCAUAGCGUUGUUUUCUCAUUCUAGGUUUCAGGAAGAGGGUCCCCCUUCAUUCUAGGUCACCAGAUCCUGUUUUAGCCUCCGGCUCCCAUCUGGUUUGAGUUAGGAACAAGCAACCCACAACAGACUUUUGAGGAAUGACAGAACGACCAGAGAAGACAUUUUGAGCUGAGCUGUACUGACUGUACAUAGCAAACUCUGCUGAGAGUAUUGGAGCUCUGUCCCUGCUAAUGUUCUAGAGUUUGGGAAGGCACAAUCAAGAAGGCUUGAGAAUAAAUGCAGUGACGGACCCUCGGGUCCUUCCAGAACAGAUCCUCUUGUUUCUCAUCCUGAUUAGUCCUUGACAUUUGUACUCAUGCAAAUGCCAGUGAGAAGACAAGGUUGAAGUCGGAGAAAGUUUCACCCAGUCUGAGGCCACCCAGGCCUCAGGAUGUUUGUCCACAUGGAACGUAUCUUCCCUCAAACGAAUAAACAGCAAAGGCUUUCUAGUUAAACCACUGAGCAAUUCAAAUUAAGUGGUGAACCAGAGACAUCUGUGUUGGGUAUAGCGAUCCUAUCAGAGACUCACCACAUUAAAUAAAAUUAAAAAAUGGGCAUUCUUGCUGGGAAAAGCAGAGCUGAUUCUCUGACUUCCAGAAAGAUUUCCAUGAAGAGUACUGGGCACCUGAACCUCACUGGAACCCAACACCCAUCUGUGCUCAGAUCAAGCCCCAUUCUGGGGGGCCUCUGCUUUUGGAGCCGAAAGGCCUGGAAAGGCCACACAGCCCAGAAGCCGCGUGACCCAAUAGGGCUCUACGACACUACUGCACGCCAGGUCCCUGUGUUGCAACCAAUUGAGUUCGACCCGCCUGUGCACAGAGAUCCUACAUGCUUGUGCCUUGACCAGCUGCUACCAAAGUUCCAGGGAAAACAGUGA